CCGCAGAUUUGCGGAUUUUGGUAACGCUCGACCGCUGGCCCAGUCCGUGGUGGGGUGGGACUGGUUUCAGAACAGGACCAGUUGUUGAGGCGAUUUUUGUCCAGAGUUCUCGGUUAUUGCGGGGAGCGGCUGCUUUUCAUGCGAGGGACCAGCUCUGCCGUUUAGUGGUCAAAACCAUGGGCGUAGACAUGUUGAGUGCCAUAAAUUACGAAUUUAAGCCGCAAAUAAAGGAGAAGGUCCCUUGGCGACCCCAUAAGAAACGCGCCCCCACAACCAAACCCCCCUUCACCCUUGGAGAACUGAAGGCUCUCAUACCUCAGCAUUGCUUUGAACGCUCCCUCCCAAGGUCCUUAUACUACCUGGUGCGUGAUUUGGUCCUCUUGAGCGCCUUCUACCACGUGGCCGACACUUACAUCCCCCUCCUGGCAUGGCCGCUGCAGUGGGUGGCGUGGCCUGCGUACUGGGUCGCGGCCGGGCGUGGGCUUCGGUUUGUGGUUCUUAGGCCACGAGUGCGCCCACGGUGCCUUCAGCGCCCACGCCUGGCUUAA
rnacentral:lncRNA from 1 species